GAUUCUUUCGUUUAACAACUUGUCUGCUUUGAUGAACACAGAUCAACGUCAGCUUUUUGUGACCCUUAGGGAAAUCACCUAUACCUAGAGUCUGGCUGUGCAGCUGAUAGCUGGCUUAACAAGAUAGCCCCCCAUCCUCUCCACAAGGACCUCUCUGCAAUCUCAUGCAGCGUGUUUGACGUUCCGAAACAAUCACAAAGUUUUCUCAUCUCUAAUGACUCUCCAGGACUGUGAGAACUCAGGAAAAUAAACAGGAACUGUUAAAGAUGUACCUGGAGCUUCUCAGGGGCUGCUUCACUGGCUCCGUCCAGCUCUCAAGUGCG